rnacentral:lncRNA from 1 species
AGAAAAGAAGGAGAAGAUGGAGGAGAGGAAGAGGAUCAUCACCAUCAUCAUCCUCUUCAUCUUCUUCUCUCCCUUGGAGCUCUAGGAGAGGUAAGCUUCCAAGCCUCUCAUGGUAGAUUUUUGUAGAAUGGGUUUUAAACCCUAGAUCUUUGGUUUUGAUCUACCUACAAGCUUUAGAACUUCGUAGAGGCCAAGAACACAUGAAAUCCAUGGUGUUCUUCAUGAUGCUCUAAUGGUGGAUUUCUAGGGUUUGUUCUAAACACCCUAUGAACGGUUCUAAUGGUCCUAAAUGAGCUCUAAGAACUUGGACAAGCUCUCUUUUGCUUGUUUUAUAGAUCGAAAUCGGAGUAUUGAGCAUAUGUCAUAUUAGGGCAUCCCAAAGAGGGGUUUUGCUCAUAUGGGGUUUUGAUCUAUUUUGACCGCUUGGAAACCUAAUUGGGGACCUAAUGAACGCGUUGAAACGCUCGGUUCGACAAUCCGACGAGUGUACGCGAAGUUAUUGACGAAACGGUCGGUUUUGGUACAGAUAGCCGCAGCACGCGGAAUAAGUGUCUAAAAAUCGUGAGAUCGGAACCGGAGCAUCUUGGAGUC